UAUAAGUCAUCAUCAAAUCUCAGUCAGCUUUUGAAGUGUAGGAAACAACUCGAUACCCAGAACUUUCUGGAAGGGCUGUUCUGUCACUCAGUGCACUUGUGAUGUUUUUGCUGCUGUUGAUUAAAGCUCUUCAUUCCUUUGCUUCCCUUCCCCUUUCCCCACCUGAACUGCCACCAUGGGUAACAGGUACUGGGUGCAGGUACUCUCUCUGUGCAUACACUGGAAAUGGAUACUACUGGAGACACAUGAAGGGAAGAGAAGGGGGAACUGUUCUCUAUCAGAGCUAUCAGCAAACAUAGCUGGAGUUCAGGAAGACUUCCCACAGAUCAACCUAAAAGAGUGAGGGACAGAGAAGGAGAGAGAGGGCAUGAGAGAGUUUCGCCUCUUUCUUUCAAUGUGGUUCAGGAUGUCUGAGAGCAAUAAGAAAUGUACAGGCUUAGAAUUCCCCUGUAAACUCCAAAAUAAUCUCAAGAACACCCAUACAAUACUCCGUGCCGACAGCUGGUGGGUAAGAGCAGAUCAGGUUUGUUCUUUCAAGCAGCAGUGCCCUUUGCCUUACUGCAGCACACUGUAAUUAAGGCCUUGCGUAGGGCCAGAUUCACUAGCAUGAUAAAGAGGAGUUAUUUUUGUAUGUGAAUUCAAAUGAACAAAUGCAAUUUCUAACCAUUAACCUCUUGAAGUAGAUAACAAGUGGGUUUAGGGAUAAUUACUGAUUUUCAUAGUUUCUAGGAAAGCUUUAUCAGGACCCUUAUGUUUCUAAAACACUGACACAUCGCACGAUCCAGGCCGUUGGUGUCUAAAAAGGCAAUGAGUGCAUUACAACAUGCCCCAUAUCCCAGAGCCAGCUCCCCUGCCUUUCUGUGUGUGCAGAGAAGAUACCGAGAAGCCUAGGGAGCCAGUUCCCAAGUCCUUUCCUUCACUGGUGCACACUUGCUCUUACAUAGGCAACCACAUUUCAGUGGAGCUAAGGACUUUGGGUGGAUCGCUCAUUUUGCAGGUUCAGAGAUUGAUUCCAGCAAGAACUGGAGUUUGCACGGCCCACUGGGAAAACUUGCUCCUCACCUCUCCUCCAGAGGUACAUGAAAUCUAGUAUGAGGAAGGAGAUGUGGAGAGGCAGGGAAGAUGCUGAGCUUAGGAUCCAUUCUGCUUCUGACAGCCCAGAAACAAGAGGAACCUGUUACCAGCAUGGAUAUAGGGAGCCUACUCUGCUGAGUGAGCUCCUGCACAGCUCCACAGACCAGGAUCCACCUCGGCAGCCAUGCCCUGAUGCAACACAGUCCUUUGUGCUGAUCCAACAGCCACUGUUUCAGUGGAUAAACCAGGUAUUAAACUCACCAUUUCCAGAAGUUACAAACUCAGCUGCAAAAGCCACAGCUCUGUAGCAGUGGGUCACAACUCCUGCCUUGGCCAGCACAUCACUCCUUGCUAACCUUGCCUGCUGCAAGCGAUUCCUAUUCUGUGCUGCACACAACAGUGAGACUUCCUUCUCCUCUGUUAUGGACCUGAACACCUUACCUUGAUAUAGGCAUACAUAAUUUUACUAAAAUGAUCACUGCACUACUGAGGCAGCAUUUACAGGGGAACCGAACAAUAGCUUUUUCCAAGCUACCAAGCUCUUGCAAGACAUGAUGUAGGGAGAUGGGAGCUGACACCAAGCUAGAGCAGAUGGCAUUGAAGAUGAAAGAUGAGAAAGCUCACUUGCAGGGAACCUGGGUUUUGUUCUCUGUGGGAGGAACAUGAACUUUUGCAUUUAAGCCAAAUUUAAUAAUGCAUUCCAGUGAUCUAUGUUUUUUUAAGCUCCCACAUUUCCUCCCUUCCUGAAUGCUAUAUGUUUUCCCCUUCUAUUAGAGGUAUUUCUGUGGCAUCCACUGCCAACAGGUUGAAAAUCAAAAUGCUACCAAGUUGUCAUGGAUGAAACAUCAAUAUCUUGAAUGUUUGGGAAAGAGCCAAAUGUUAGUUUAAUUAGCUUGAACAUAUUCAAUUUGGACUGACCUUUUCAAAUAGAAUCAAAGAAGCACUGAGGUUGGAAGCAACCUCUGGAGAUCAUCUAGUGCAACCAUCUGUUCAAAGCAGAGCCCAUUAGAUGAACUUGCUUAGGACAUCAUCCAGCCAGAUUUUUCUGUAUCUCCCAAAACAGUCUGCAAAAUAUUUCUCCUGAACACAUGCACUACAGUCCUUAAAGAAGUUAUUUCAAACCAAAUUUUGCAACUUUAUUUCCUACAAUGCAAAGAAACCUUUUGAUAAUUUUGUAACAUAACACAUUUUCCUCCAUCCAGAAUAGGAAAUAAGAAAAACCUUUUUGCUACAAUGACUGCAUUUUUAAUACUGUUCAUUUUUCAAAUUUAAAUUUCCAAUUAAAAUUUUAAAAGGUCAAUAUAUAAAUUCCCAUCUGAAUCUUGUGUAAGCAUCUUAAAAGAAAAUCAGCACCUAUCCAGUAUCAGGGACUAAGAACAGUUCAGUACCACACUUGCUGCUGUGCAUUUCCUCUCUUCAGCUCUUUCACAGACCCUGUAAGGAGUUUUGGAAACUCUAUGGACACUUGCUUGCCUACUUAGACUCCAGCACAAGGACACCAUUGGAUGAAGCAGGACACAUCACAGUCUCUGGUGUGUUCCUACCACCCAGCACUUCUGAUUCUGUCUCCAGCUACUUGCAAAGGCCAUUUCAAUUCGGCACAGUAAUGACAUAUUGCAUAAUACUAAAACCUUCAGUGAAGUUCACAGCACUGACUCCUCAUAAAUACAAACUGUCAGCUCUCUGGUGCUUCCAAAUAUGCAGUGAUCAUAUACUGGAAACCAUUCCCAUACAUUUACUGUUUUACAUUGGCAGUGCACUGCAAAAGAUCAGAAGGUACUUUAAAAAAAAAAAACACAAACAAACCACAACUCCUGCCAUAAUGUGGCUUUUAUCUUCUAAAAGGUGUUCAUAGGAAAAACUCUAAUUUCUAGAAGAGUUCUCCAUUGACCCUGUGAUACGGAGUCUGGGUGUAAGUUAAAAACCAGACAAAUUAAAUUUUUAUCUCAUUUAUUGUGAAAUAUAAAAAUUUUUAUGUUUCUCAUUAGAUUUUUCAUCAGAAAAGAUCAUGGAACUGGAUCACAUAAUUCAGAUCAUUUGGUCAGGAACUUCCAUUCUCAUUAUUUCACCCAGUACAGAAGCUACAACACAAUUGCAACUGACAAAAGACUUACUGGCAAAUGUACAGACAGCCCUAUUUCAAUGAGUUACUUCUUUACACUGAAAAAACAUACGGUUGUCAUAACUGAGCAGUUAAAAAAAAAAAGCCUUGCAAUCAUUUGAUAGCUCUUCAGUGAAUAAUGGAAAAGAGUUUAAAGGGCUCAAGCACAGACCUCGGGAAAAAAGAGAACUGCAUCACUAAAAAACUCCAGCCCAGUUAAUUGCAGGUAAUUUCUAUGAAUAAUGACAGCAGAGAACACCGAGUGACGUAGGGGAGAGAAUAUUCUGAGUCGUAAUUGCUUAAAACGAACAGUUCAGUCAAUUUGAACUUAUUUGGGACAGUCUGUCCUGCCCCUUCCAGAGCACUGUAAACAUUUGGCUAAAGCUGCCAAGGAGCAUCUUCCAUGUGUUCUGCACCCUACAAAUGGUGGCAGAAGAGCCGUCCCUGCCUGUUCACACUGGGAACAUCCUGUACACACACGUGCACACAAACAUGGCUCUGUGGCCUAAUUUUUGAGGAAUAAUUAGUAUUUAAUUAUGUAAAUAGCACCUAAAAAGGGGAUAUGUUCCUUUGGCAGACCAAUUCACCUUCUAGUGCAGCCACUUUAAGUGUCCUCCACAGCUGGAACUAUCUAUGUAAAAUGCCUGUAAGUCAACAGGAACAAUGCCUGGUGCAUGGCAGAACAAAUGAGAGCUAAUUCACAAGGAAGGGACCACCAAACUAAAUAUAUUUGGGUUUCAUCUACCUCACAUUAGCCUGUUUUGGAGAACAUGUGUACUUGUCACAUAUAAUUCUCAGUUGCUCCCAUUCUGAGAUUACUUUCUUCACUGAGGUCCUCAAGACACCAUUCAGUUUGAUCUCUACACUUUCAAACAUUCAUCACCCAAGCAUCCAAAAGAUUCACGACCUACUUGGGCCACCCUUAUUUCAAAUGGCAAGUUGAGUGUAUCAGGAAUAACACUUCAUGGGAGCUUGAAGCAUUUAUUUUUAAAGCAAUACAUGAAGAUGAUCUGUGUCUGCAUGAUGCCAGAAGAGAGCAAGGCAAGGGAAGCAAACAAUGAACAAAACACAAACACCCCUCUGGUAAUGUCUCAAAGCAGCAGAUUAAAAGCAGCUCCUAUUCCCAAUGCCCUUACUUCAAGGCUCUUACCUCAAGAGCUGUUAGCCUUAGAACCAGCAAACAAGAGUCCAAAUGGAACCAUGCUGAAAAUUGGGUGCCUUCCCCUUCUCAGCAUCCUCUUCUCAUGUACACAGCCCUGAGUACAGCCUGAUUAUUUUCGCUAUGAGCUCCAUUACGUCCCUUAAACGAGAAGAACAACCCACUCCUUCCUAGCUAUGGUUGUGUAAACCAAUAUUAAAAGACUCUCAAACCCUGGGUCCCUCCGGCUGACUGCAGGGAGGAGGCAGAAUGUCAGCACAUGUCAAUAUUGAACUUAGCUUGGCUGGGUCUGAGGCAGGUGCCUGCCACGUGUAAAAGCCCCAGAGCUCCAGUGGACUCAAAUCUUCCUGCCACCAUGGAUUUACAGAGCUCUUGGGAAACAUAUUUCUAAGGGAACACAGGCACCUACAGCACGGAACAGCUGCACCACUUAGAAAAUUUAUCCCUCCAUUUCAUGCUUGUUAGACUUUCCUAGGACAUGCACUAGCUGCAUGCACUUCUGUAAGCCACUUAAACUCCCUAAAAGCAGUGGAUCAGGACUGUGUAGAGUACUGCACUGAGUUGGUUUGUCUCUGCUGAUCAGUACAAGAGAAGGGCAGGGAGAUUUUGUCAAGUUUUAUGAAAUUAUGCCCACAAAAGCAGGGCUAAGUACUGCUCUACUAACAGCAGGAGACCAUAGCCAUGACAUUCUUCUCUGAGAAACUGAAUAGACAUUCAAUAAGAACAGAUUCAUUACUAUUGCUGGAACCAUUUAAAUCCCAUCCAUCCCCUCCAGGAUGUACCCCUUGCUGCUCUAAAACAGGCAGAAGGAUUUUUUUUUAGGAAGCUCUAACUGCUACCCGAGGAAUGAGAUACAAUUUUGCCCCAGGGAGAGCCAGGUGCUUUGCUUUGCUGCUUGUCUCACAAAAGUUGUACCCUGCAAUAGAGCACAUUUGUAUUGGAUUAAUGUAAUCAAAAGCACCCUGCUGUCUGGUCACUGACCUGUCUGUAAACAACAGAUGACAUGAUGCUGUGAGCUACUAUUAUAUAUAAUUACCUAUUGAGUUGUGACUAUUGUAAAAAAAACAAAACCAUAUACUUCACCUGCUGCUGUUGGUCUGUUUUCCAGGGAGGAACAAAUCCUAUAAGCACCUCAACUUUGAGCACCAUUUUGUUCUCAUCUCCUUCACUGCUCUUCACAUCUCCUCCAAAUAAGUUUGUGUGCUCUUCCUUACACCUGGAACAAUUUUCUCAGCUGCACUAGCAAGGUGCAACCCUUCUCCGUUCUUGCUUUAAAUCCCUUUUAUAUCCUUCUCCUGUCAUUCAACCUUUUGAUGUCACAGUUUCCUCUCUGUGCCUGCACAAAAGUGAAGGUUAUCUGUAACCUGAAUGUAUCUCACCUGCCCUGGACUGUACUCACUGUGAUAGAGGCCAUAGGGACAGAUUCCCACCUGAUGUAACUCAGGCAGGUCUGCUGGAGUGAUACACAACACAACCAUGAAUCACAGAAAACAUGGUGAAUAAGGAACACUUUUCUCUGGUUUCCAACACAAGAGUAGGAUCAGAAGGAACCUAUUACCUGCCAGCUCCAAACCAACAGGAAGCCGCUUGCACACCCUGUACAGUCCAGUUGUGGAGCUCCUUGCUCCAGGACACUGCAAACCAAGCAACUAAACACCUUACUGAAAGAACAAAACUCAUCAGGAGUCAUGAAAUACAAAGAACUCUCCUCAAGUUCAGACAUUGCCAAGCCUUAAAUUGUUGGAAACUGGGAAAGUAUUCUGGGAAUACAACUGCAUACCCACUGUACUCUUCCCUGAGCACUCCCUGCAAGCUGCUUUAAGGGACAGGACACGGGAUAGAUGGAGCUGGCAUUUGACCCAGUGAAGAAGAUCUUUAUGAGCAGCAGUUCACACCAGCUGAAGACACCGUACACGUGUCUCACGUGCACGGCUGUACAGGCACACGAGGAGCCCGAUACUCUUACAGGUGUAACAGCAGAGUAACCUCUGCAGAGCAUUUGGUGCUCACUAGCAACCAGCUCUUAUAGUCAGUAAACUACAACUGUUGCUGCUGCUACAAGCUGGUAGCUAACACACACUUAUCUCUGUUGUUCAUCAGUAGCUCAGAAGCUACUAGGACAUGAUAUUCAUGCAGAUAGAUGUUCAAAGAAAAGUUUUCAUUACAGUAUAAGGCAAUGAAACAGAAGCCGACUGACGCUGCCAAUGACAAGCUAGUUAUUUGUCUUGGCUUUCUUUUGAUUAUCAAACUGAAAUUCCAUAUUGCCAAAUUAGACAAAAACUGCUUUCCCUUUUUCCUCUAACUUUUGUCAGAAGUCUGAUGCAAAUCUCCUACAGAAGAAACAUGACCGAGUUAUAUUAGCAUCGUCCAUUCUGCUUCAUUUACAAAUGCUAUCACAAAUACCUAUUUACACCAAGAUUGAAACAUGCACACAUUACAUUAAACAUUACCUCAAUUAUUGCUUAGUGUCAGAACAGCUUAAAUUGUAUUGAACUGCAACAGCAAACUCAUAUUAAUCGUUGAAGAACAGCUCACAUAUAGAUAAAAGUAUUUGAAGUCAUCACCUGGCUCAGCCUAAACACAGCUAGGCAACAGGAGGUUACAAUGAACUGGAUUUACUAGAUAGACUUCAGUGUUUAUAUAAGGAUUCUUCUAUUACAUAGAAAUUUUUUUUACUUCCAAGGAGUUCCUUGCUUUGGAAAUACUUUGGGCAUCACGGACAAAAGCUUAUUAUCUGAGAUAUUAUACAGGAAAUAGCAUUAAAGAAAAAAGCCAACAUUUCAGAAUAUGUGAUUGUAGACUUUAUUUUGAAAAUGCUUCAUGAAAAACAGUUGGUCAUUGGAAAUAUUUUAAAAGUAAUUUAAUCACAGACUGCCAAGACUGCACUCCUCACCUUCUUUGCAUCAACCAAGCUCCAGUUCUUCAAAGAUCACCCAAUACCAGCACAAAUGACUGGUUUAGACAUCUUCUCUGGCUGUCCCUUAAGAGUCACUGAGAAUGAAUUGAGACAAUAGUAAAAUGAUGCAUUUAGCUGCCUGAAUCCUUUUGUGAGUGAAGAGGGGUCUGAUCAAUUCCUACUUACCUCAGCACACUUCUGGUUUCAGAAUUGACUUUGGGGGUUUCAUCACUGCCUACCAUAGAACGUUAAUGCUUUCGUUAAUGCUAAAUGUAAAGACUUGGAAGAGCUAUUCGGAGAGAUGCAAACAAGAAGGAACAUAUUACUAUCAACCACUGCUGACAGGAAGCCAUUGGUACUGGAGAUGCUGAGGCUGAACUUAUCAGAUAGCCAGCAUUUGAGAGAACAUUUCAUUGAACAGUGAAAGCAGACAGGACCCAUUUGCUGUGGAGCAGCACCUCCGAGUGUGACUCACGCUAUUGAACAAUCCUGACUUGAACCUGUUGAGGAUCUUGGCCCAGCGUUUCCUUUUCAGUAUUAAUCCGAGCUGGAAACGUGUCAAUAAACCUCUCCGCUGCUGCCUGGCAGCUGGCUAAGCAGCAGUGCGAGCCCUCUGAGCGCUCGCCGGUCACCAGCAGCAGCAGCAGGCACGCCAGACCCGGCUGGUGCUGCCGCCGAGCCCCCGCCCUGCGAGCCCUUCCCAGCGCCCGCACCCUCCUCACGGUGCCGGCCGCGGGGCUCCGGCAGCUCCCCACCUUCCAUCCCUGUGCCCAUCCCCUCACCCCACCCCGCCGCACACCCCGACGCGGACCGACGCCCUGCGGAAGCAACAGGGCAGCUCCCCGUCCCUCCGAGCCCCGGGCCAGGGGCCGGUCCCGGCGGGGCGGGCGCGGCCCCCGGUACUCACAUGGCGAGGGGCCGAGCGGGGUCUGCUGCCUCCCUCUCCAGCAAAGAUGGCUUUCCGGCUCCGCGCCUGCUGCCAACGCUCUCCUACUGUUGUAGGCACUGUUGCUGAGAUAGGAGGGGUAGGCACCGGCUACUGAGCAUGCCUGCGCCUUAUCACAGGGUAGGAAAUAGAGGCAAGGCACGGAGGUACCCCCUCCCCACCCUCACGCCAGCCAGGAGAAAGUCCUGGAGUGACGAACGCGAACGGAGCCUCCAGCUCCUGCCACAUCCCGCCUCCUCCCCGUGCGGAGCAGGCAGCGUCUGGCUGGGUGUGGUCACCGGAGCGGGGCUCAGUCCAGCCAGGACGCCUGGGGGGAUUUCGGUGAAAACGUUUGUGUCUUUCUGCAACCACCUUCUGUCUCCCUCUCUUUUCUAGAAAGAAAGGGCGGGGGAGGGAAGAGAGCGAGAGAGGGAAAAAAAAAAAGGAAGAGAAGCACAAAAGGUAUUGCUGUUCAAUCCAUGCUGUCAUGGGUGAGUACUCGUGAAUGAAAAAAGGCAAGCUGUCAGGAUUAUAAUGCCUACCCACAACACAGAGCAAACCCAGAGACAGAGAAGCUACUGGAUCAGCCACUGAUUGUGAAAUGGUUGUGUCUCAGAUGAAGUACAGCAGUUGCCGAGUCUCUGUGCUCCUGGCUUUAAGUUCACCUCACACUCAACCUAAGCCCAGGCAUCCAAUCUCACCCUUGAAACUCCUUCAUUACCAUCAGCACUUCCCUUGCAUGUCCCACACCCUUGUACAGCACAAAACUUCUUCUGAAGCAGAACGUGCUCCUUUACAUUCAAACCAAAGCCAUUGUAUAGUCUAAACAGAGGUCAAGGAAGAAGACAGGUUUUCAAGAAGUGGCACUUAACAUCAUUGUCCCCAGUGAUAACUUCCUCCAUUUUGCUUGUAAAAAGAUACCUUACCUGUCACUGCCUUUCCAUCAAUGUCAGUGACAGAUAGCACAAGCUGUUAAACCCAGGUAUCUGGGUAAGGCAAGGGCUUACCCAGAACACAGAGAAGCUUUUGUAAGUAAGACCUCAGAUUUCGAAGUGCCUUUUGGAGAUAAAGUACAAGUGUCAUCAGAUAAAAUCUGUGUUUUUUGAUGCGGGAGUCAAAGAAAAGGUGAAUUGUUCCUCAAAGUAACAGGCAAAGGCACAGGUACUAGGGAUGAGGAACGCAUCAGUCCCAAUUUCUAAACUUUGUAUCAAUCAGUUGAAUAUUUUCAUGGAGAAAGUAACCAAGGAAUGUGACAACACCCACAGUGGUGGUACACAGCCCAGACCUUAGGACACUCAGCUAUUGCCUAAAUCCAGGUUCAGAUGCUGUCACAGCCUCAGAUGCAAGCCCUUGGCUGUCAGCUCUGAAGGGGAUCCAAACCUUUGGGGGAAUGGUGGAACUCUUCAGAGCGACUUAGUCACAGGAACCUCUCUCCCCUCUCCCUCUGCUGCCUGAGAGCUUCCUCACGGCAUUAAAGACUCAUCAUACCUGCGGCCACUGCAGGGUGAGUUUGUCUCUUCUAAUGAAGGUAAUCAUUUGCAUGAAUGAAUAAAUGUCACUUUGAGCCUUAGUUGUCUACAUUUGACCACAUCACUAAGGGCAUGCUCACAUGUUGCAGUCAUAAUAGCCUGGCCCUGAGAAGCUUUUUCUGAUGGAAGUAAAAAAAAAAAAAAAAUCAAAGUGGAUUUUCUCUAUGUAAAGAUGGAGUUUCAACCAAUUGAUAUGCCCUGACAACAGUCAAAAGAUUCAUGACAAGCUUUAAGCUUUAUCCAUCCACAGAUUAUUUAGCUCAGCACUUCUCAUCUGGUAUUCCUCCACAAUCUUUCCUCACGAGGAUGGUUUACUUUUCAGAUAUCCUAGACAAAGAUACAUUUAUCUGAUACCCCUGUAGCACACAGCCACACCAACACCCACACAUAGGCAUACACUGAGUACAGGUACCACCUGCUACCAGUCUUCAAACCCAAACCACACUCACAUACUGAGGAAGUGAAAAGUCAUGCAAGGCUGUGAGGCCAGGAGCCUCUGGGACAGAAGGACCUACUAUCUAGACCUUCCUGCCCCUUCUGUGCUAUCACUUCAUGUUGUUAUGUGGAGGGUGGAACAAGUAUCGAUGCCAGACCAAAGCUCAAAAGACUCAAAAAAAAUCCCCUGGAAGACUCCAAACCCAACUUAUUAAAAUGUUUUAUUAUACAAACUAUCCAGAGCACAUGAUACAGUGUCUAUGCUGACUUCAUGCCAGCUUUAUCCUGAUUGAAGGGGAGCAGAAAAUACACCCAUGAGCAUAAAGGUGAAAUGGCAGUCAGAAAAAUUAAAAAUUAAUAGAAACGUGUCAGUACAGGAAUAAUACCUCAAACCUUGUGAAAAGAGUGCAGAAUGAGCUGAAGUUGGAACAGUGUACCACAGCAUAUGGCCACAGCUUUCUCUGAUGUGAUACAGGAGAGUUCUCAAAACCAAAUUAAAUAACAUCACUGGACUGUGGCUGCUAAAGAAGAAUUUCCUACCAGCUAAUGAAGGCAUCACCACUCCAAUCCAAGAUCGCGAUCCUGAAGAAAAUUCACAGCUAAACUGGGGGACAUUUUCCUUUAGCCCUACAUUUUCUUGAGCUCACAGACUGCCAUUAAAGGCUACCAAAGCCUUUGGUGAAAGAAGACAUGCAGAGACACCCUGUGGUGGCAAAAUAAUAUGAUCAGAAUUAGUUCCAACAGCUGAAAAUUCAUUUAAGACACGCAAGUGGAUCAGAAAAGCCGCAUCGUGCGGACACCAAGAAAUUCUCCCCAAGUUGCUAUUCACGUAAUUUCCUCUCUCCAGACAUCCUUUCCUGUCUGGCAUCUUUUACUCUGUGUCUUUGCAUGACAGCCCCUGCCACAAAGAUUUUACCUCUUAUUCUGUUUGGUACUUUUACUCCAGAGGACAACAGCUGAAUCACGGCUGCGACAGUUGGAGGGAUGGCCAUGGAAACGCUCUGCUUUUGGAAGAGAGUUUCCUGCAUCUUCAGCCUGCCAGUCUUGGGUAGGGAAAACAAUCAGUCUUUUGUAAACUGUUGCUGUUGGUUUUUUUACCCCAUUCAUAAUUCAUAUUUUGUCCUGAAGUCAAAUUUUAUCUAUGAAGGCAGUUUCAGGCCAUCAAUAUACGGCUCAAGACAUCCAGAAAUGAAAGCCAUCAACAACCAGCAUCUGUGCAGAUCAGUUUUGGCAUCUCAAGUCUUGCAGGUACUACACCUUGCUUAUAAUGAACUAAAGAUAACCUACAGAUACAACAAUGAGGUUCCUGAAAAUGUUGUCCAUUGCUGAUAUAUGAUCUUCAUCUGAAGGAAACAUAUUUUCUCCCAGAUGUGCAAGUACAAUCCCCUUUUUAAAGAGUCAUUAACAAAACAACUCCAUUAGUGCUAGAUAAGAAAGGUGAGAACAAUUGGUUGGUAGAUAGAAAGCAAUGGUAGUCAAGUUUCACAAGAUUUAAGCAGAGAAGAAAAGUAAAGCAAAUAAAUCAAUUAUUCAAAUACUGGGUAUUCAGAUCUGAUUUGGCAACACUUUUAAACAGAUAGUUAAAGUAUAGAAGGAUUUUCCCUCACAUCAUUAGAACUAAUUACACUCCCAUAGCCAGACAAAUUCAUCUUUAAAAGAGAAAUUAAAUACUGUACAUGUCCAAAGUAUAAUUUUUCAAAAAUUGUCUAAAAGGCUUAAAGAAAGAUCUGAGUAUCUUCAGUGCUUUGUUACCAAUUUUUACAUGUUUAUUUUCGAUGUUACAUUUUCUUCUCUUGAUCUUUUAGACAAGUCAUAUCAGUACUGAAAGACCCUUCAGUGAGAAGCCUUUGAAGCUCCCUUCUCAGAAGCAAGGUAGAUGUCUCCCUCCCCAGUUGCUGAUUUUAUUAGACACAGACUGUUCUGUUCUGCAGAGCUUCACCUCAGCACCACUGUAUGCCUAAAAUGGGUCUUGAAUUUGCAGAUUAUUUUGUCACCAAUUAAACCCCAAAGUCUGUAAUUGUGAGGUGUGUAAAUUUUCUUUCAUUCACAACUUCUAUUCCUUCACAUCUUAGUAAUACUUUAGUGACAGUUUCCUUUUACAGGUCAGUGAACUGUUUGUAAUUCCUUUCAUAAAUGGUCUUUUCUGCCAUUUCUGUGGGAUAUACAAGUCCGACUUACCUGGGUUCUGUUAAAACACUGGGUCUCUCAUGACCAAGCCUGAGUAGCAAGGUGUGUCACUCUAUGUUCCUUCAAGGAAUUUACAGUUUCUUGUUAAUGUGUAUUACCAUGUAAUUUUGGUAAAUGAUUAUAACACAACUUAAAACUGUUUCAAGGUGUGAUCCUGCAAAGCAUUUGUGCAGUGAGUCUCAGUCGCUCUUGCCUGUGUGUGUCCUAAGGUAUGAACUGGUUAUGGAGAACUGUACUUAAAAGGCUGGGAGAGACUGAGGGGAGAGCAGCAUACAAGGAGAGAAAAGAUGAAGAGUAAAAGCAGAAAAGUUCAAAAUGAUUGUCAAUUUUGUUUUUAAGCCCAAAAACUUUGUGUGAUUUUGUACAGAAGAUUUGUGGAAAAUAUUUUUAACAGGCAGGAACAAGACAAUAGACAUAGGAGGGGGUGAACAUGACCCUCCAAGUCAAGCAACCAAAAGUUAAUGAAAUUACCAAGUAUCAAAUGUAGCACAGAGAGACUAAUUCAAUCAGAGAGGCCAAAGGGAUAAUUCUUGGAGACAAAGCAUCACAACGCGGAAAUGCAGCCUAAUCAACUGCUUUAUCAAAAGAAAAAGGAAACAAUUUCCAAUCCUUAACUAAAAUCCCCAGUUGGUUCUUCAUCUUUUCAGGGUUCUGGUUUUUGCUUUGCAGUGUUUGUUCCAUCUCACAUUUGUUUCACUGCUUCUGUUCUCUGCACAAAGCUGUUUCACUGGCUCCUGGCUCUUCGCUUCUAUCAAACGAGCCGCCUCUGCUCUUGGUUUAAGCAACCAGCUUCAUCAUGAAGGAGAGCAUGUAGAGGGAAAUAUUCAUUAUGUUUAAUGUCCAAGCCUACUUUCCAUAAUUACGUGGAAUAGAGCAAGAAUACCCAGAGUCACCUUGUGUCUGCAGGAUUUUUCAGAGCAGGUAUUUGCUUCAUCUGAUGGAAAGCAGCUGCUCCCUGAUCUCAACUGAACCUCCGGUGUAACCAGGACCCUUUGCAGGUAGAGUAACACAUCCAGACUUCGCCAGGUACAACAAGCAAGGGAGAGGCUUUCGAAAAGCUACUCAGACUUCUGUUUUCAUCUAAGCAAGUGGUGUUGUUAUGACAGAUAAAAUGAGCUGGCACAAAGAAAAGAGGGACCUCAUGGAAGGAAGCGCAGGAGAUGGGAAGCACAGCCGAAAAAAGCGAGAGCGGCUAUUUAAGAAGAGAUUUUCUGGACUGAGCCUUUUCUCUGGGUCUCCUAAGAAUAAAUUCCCUCAGGGAAGAAGUCAGCUUUUUGAAGACAAGAGGAGAUGUUUACACAGGAAAGGCUCCAAGAAGCUGAAGCCAGCACGGGAGGAAAUCUGUUCUUUGAGGCAGCCACACUCCGGGAAAAUGUGUCCGAAAUGCGAGAUCCUCACCUGCCGGAAGUGCGAGACCCUGCACUCGGAGAGUGGCUUCAUUGCCCACAGCCUGCUCGACCACUAUGACAGGGGAGGAGCCACAGCCCACCUGUGACUGCAGAGGGGUGAUUAAAGAUCUGAUGUGGGUACCCUGCCAGUACCCAACCACAUCCCAAAUGCUAAAGCUUGGAUCCCUCAGGCUCACUGGGUCUCCGGCCUGUGCAGCAUCAGCAAUUCCAGCCAUACUGUAGCUCAUACUAUACACAGCAGAUGCACAGGCAGUAAUUCAACCAGCAUGCACCCUGCAAGCAAAGAUCUGUAAGCUAAAAGUUUCUCAGCUACUAAGGACAAGGAAUUGUUUCAGAAAUAAUCUCCAGUUUUCUUUGUUCUCUCCAGGAAACAAGAUUAUCCCACUGAGCUGCAAAGAAGGACGUGACUAUUGCAUGCAGAACACUGGGUACAUUACUCUUACUUGCAAUGCCUUGGUAUGUUUCAGUAUUGUUUGUGGUCUGGAAUAUUAAACAUUUUAUUUUUAAAUUAA